rnacentral:rRNA from 1 species
AGUGAACGCUGGCGGUAGGCCUAACACAUGCAAGUCGAACGGCAGCACAGGAGAGCUUGCUCUCUAGGUGGCGAGUGGCGGACGGGUGAGGAAUACAUCGGAAUCUGCCCAGUCGUGGGGGAUAACGUAGGGAAACUUACGCUAAUACCGCAUACGACCUUCGGGUGAAAGAGGGGGAUCGCAAGACCUCUCGCGAUUGGAUGAGCCGAUGUCGGAUUAGCUAGUUAGCGGGGUAAUGGCCCACCAAGGCGACGAUCCGUAGCUGGUCUGAGAGGAUGAUCAGCCACACUGGAACUGAGACACGGUCCAGACUCCUACGGGAGGCAGCAGUGGGGAGUAUUGGACAAUGGGCGCAAGCCUGAUCCAGCCAUACCGCGUGGGUGAAGAAGGCCUUCGGGUUGUAAAGCCCUUUUGUUGGGAAAGAAAUCUUUCAGGCUAAUACCCUGGGAGGAUGACGGUACCCAAAGAAUAAGCACCGGCUAACUUCGUG